GCCACAUGAUGUUAUCUAGACGGCAUUAGCGCUCUGUGCGAUGGUGACCUCCGAUCUAUCACCCGAGACUGAUGGUU